rnacentral:rRNA from 1 species
AAUAGAUACCCGGGUAGUCCAUGCCGUAAACGUUGGGAACUAGAUGUAGGGGACCAUUCCACGGUUUCUGUGUCGCAGCUAACGCAUUAAGUUCCCCGCCUGGGGAGUACGGCCGCAAGGCUAAAACUCAAAGGAAUUGACGGGGGGCCCGCACAAGCGGCGGAGCAUGCGGAUUAAUUCGAUGCAACGCGAAGAACCUUACCAAGGCUUGACAUAUACCGGAAAAGUUCAGAAAUGUUCUCCCCGCAAGGUCGGUAUGCAGGUGGUGCAUGGUUGUCGUCAGCUCGUGUCGUGAGAUGUUGGGUUAAGUCCCGCAACGAGCGCAACCCUCGUUCUAUGUUGCCAGCACGUAAUGGUGGGAACUCAUAGGAGACUGCCGGGGUCAACUCGGAGGAAGGUGGGGAUGACGUCAAAUCAUCAUGCCCCUUAUGUCUUGGGCUUCACGCAUGCUACAAUGGCCGAUACAAAGGGCUGCAAUACCGUAAGGUGGAGCGAAUCCCAAAAAGUCGGUCUCAGUUCGGAUUGAGGUCUGCAACGUCGACCU